rnacentral:rRNA from 1 species
UACGUAGGGUGCGAGCGUUUGUCCGGAAUUACUGGGCGUAAAGAGCUCGUAGGCGGUUUGUCGCGUCGUCCGUGAAAACUUGGGGCUCAACCCCAAGCUUGCGGGCGAUACGGGCAGACUUGAGUACUGCAGGGGAGACUGGAAUUCCUGGUGUAGCGGUGAAAUGCGCAGAUAUCAGGAGGAACACCGGUGGCGAAGGCGGGUCUCUGGGCAGUAACUGACGCUGAGGAGCGAAAAGUGUGGGGGAGCGAAACAGGG